rnacentral:misc_RNA from 1 species
GAAAUGCGAUAAGUAGUGUGAAUUGCAGAAUUCAGUGAAUCAUCGAAUCUUUGAACGCACAUUGCGCCCCUUGGUAUUCCAUGGGGCAUGCCUGUUCGAGCGUCAUUUGUACCCUCAAGCUCUGCUUGGUGUUGGGUGUUUGUCCCCGUCUCCGCGCGUGGACUCGCCCCAAAGUUAUUGGCAGCCGGCGUACUGGUCCCGGAGCGCAGCACAUGUCGCGCAAACGAGUGCCUUGGUACGGCGGCGUCCAUAAGCCCCUCUCUCACGCUCUUGACCUCGGAUCAGGUAGGGAUACCCGCUGAACUUAAGC